GACGAACGCUGGCGGCGUGCCUAAUACAUGCAAGUAGAACGCUGAAGAGAGGAGCUUGCUCUUCUUGGAUGAGUUGCGAACGGGUGAGUAACGCGUAGGUAACCUGCCUUGUAGCGGGGGAUAACUAUUGGAAACGAUAGCUAAUACCGCAUAACAAUGGAUGACCCAUGUCAUUUAUUUGAAAGGGGCAAAUGCUCCACUACAAGAUGGACCUGCGUUGUAUUAGCUAGUAGGUGAGGUAACGGCUCACCUAGGCGACGAUACAUAGCCGACCUGAGAGGGUGAUCGGCCACACUGGGACUGAGACACGGCCCAGACUCCUACGGGGGGCAGCAGUAGGGAAUCUUCGGCAAUGGGGGCAACCCUGACCGAGCAACGCCGCGUGAGUGAAGAAGGUUUUCGGAUCGUAAAGCUCUGUUGUAAGUCAAGAACGAGUGUGAGAGUGGAAAGUUCACACUGUGACGGUAGCUUACCAGAAAGGGACGGCUAACUACGUG
rnacentral:rRNA from 1 species